UCUCAGCCCUAACCCCCCCCCAUUAAUUUCCUGGUAGUUCAUGAUGGAAAUUAAUGGGGGUGGGGUUGGGGCUGAGG